GAAGGGAGAAUAAAUACAUAACUGGAGGAGGUUGGAUUUAAUAAUAGCUCAAGCAAAUUUUUGCAGUUAAUGGAAAAUGAAGGCCUGCUUAUAUGCAUAUACUCUAAAAAUCGAAUUGAGGUCUGGGACGUAGAGGGGAAGUGUCUGUGUAAAGUUUAUGACUUUGACAAGGAAAUCACCAUUGUAGCACUCAUAAAUAGAACCUCCAUGACUCAAACUAGGUAAGACUCUUUGUACAGAUUUUCUUUAUAGAUUCUUUGUAAGUAUUUUUUACGGAGGAAUUAUUAUAAAGCUAAAGUUCUUGAUAGGAUUCAACCCAAAGAUCUAUAGAGUAAAAAUUCUUGAUAGGUUGUAGAAACAGAGGAGGCAAUGGAUGAAUAUAUUUUAUUUUCUUGAAAACUACAUUUUAUUUGCUGCAAUUUUAUUUUGAUAUCUAAGAGUUGUUUUUAUUCAAUUCCGUCAAAGGUCUAUGAUAGUAGGCUAUAUUUAUGCAAUUUAGACACUAUUUACACUCUAAUUUAGCCGCACUUUAUUGAUAUUUGAAUGCUAAAAGAUAACAAAAUGCUCUAAUUAAGAAUUUGAUGCUUUGCAGGAGCUACUCCGAGCUAGGAGG
rnacentral:lncRNA from 1 species